rnacentral:lncRNA from 1 species
GCCUCGCCUUCAAUAAGACUAAGUUAGCCCCUUUUCAUUCCUUAAUCUAAGGCUGGUGGACAGAAAAUUUUCACAAAUCAUUUCAAAUAUAAACAGACCAAAAUAAUAAGAUAAACAUUGGAAUUCCACAAAUGCUUGCAUUCUUCUAAUCCCUAAACUAUGAGAAAGAUUGACCAGGACUUCCAUGCACAUAUCACGGGUAGAACUACCAAAAUAUUUUGUCCAGUCAGCAGGAAGAAAAAUUAGCAAGCACACUCCUCUAUAAAGAAAAGCAAGGCACACCAUUUGAUAAAGAUAGACCUCACUAUCCCAACCAUACAUUUCCAAGAAAUCAAUCAGAGAAAUACCAGUGAAAUAUCUGCGUAACAGUGUACCGUAACAUGGUUGAUGGCUACAUUAACUUGUAAUCACCAUGAAACUAAGAAACUCAUAAUAAUUGUGGAAAAAUUAUCUUAGGUAACUGUCGGAAAAGGUUCUCACAUUUGCUGGGUUCCAAAGAAGUAAACCAGCACUUUUUUCCAGUCAGCUGGAUAACCCCAUUUUUCUGGCUCGCUUACCUGCAAUUAACAGCUGGAAUGAUAAGCCCAACAAGCAACCUAUUCCACCUAACUAAACUACAGGAAAAUAUAAUGAAAGGUCGGAAAUUC